AGGAUGAAGACAGAGUCCGUUAUGUACAGUAUGGAGUAGGGAUGAGGAGAUCUCCGUUGCUGCUACUGACUAUAGAAAAAACUUGAGCCGGACACCCAUUGUGGCUCUCUCAUGAGAGUCAGUGGAAGAUGCGUGCUAAAAUGAACCCAGUCGUGAUUCUGAGGCAUAUUGAAGCAGACACACAAGUACUCCAAAUGACAAGAUAAUCCAGAUAAACUUUCCGCGUCUUGCAGCUUUUGAAGUUUCUAAAGCCAAAUAGCGAGGAAGGAUAAAAGACAAAC
rnacentral:lncRNA from 1 species